GAUGAACGCUGGCGGCGUGCCUAAUACAUGCAAGUCGAGCGAACAGACGAGGAGCUUGCUCCUCUGACGUUAGCGGCGGACGGGUGAGUAACACGUGGAUAACCUACCUAUAAGACUGGGAUAACUUCGGGAAACCGGAGCUAAUACCGGAUAAUAUAUUGAACCGCAUGGUUCAAUAGUGAAAGACGGUUUUGCUGUCACUUAUAGAUGGAUCCGCGCCGCAUUAGCUAGUUGGUAAGGUAACGGCUUACCAAGGCGACGAUGCGUAGCCGACCUGAGAGGGUGAUCGGCCACACUGGAACUGAGACACGGUCCAGACUCCUACGGGAGGCAGCAGUAGGGAAUCUUCCGCAAUGGGCGAAAGCCUGACGGAGCAACGCCGCGUGAGUGAUGAAGGUCUUCGGAUCGUACAACUCUGUUAUUAGGGAAGAACAAAUGUGUAAGUAACUAUGCACGUCUUGACGGUACCAAAUCAGAAAGCCACGGCUAACUACGUG
rnacentral:rRNA from 1 species